CACUGCAAAACUAGCCCGUUAUCCAAAAUCAACUAGCACACAUUUAUAAACCCUUAUUCACGCAUAGUAAAAACCAAACCAUUUUCCCACCUUAGUACGG
rnacentral:rRNA from 1 species